AGGACAUCUGAGGUCAUGGGAAUCCCUAGCCGGUGGGUGGGGGAGGGACCAGGACGUGGAGUGGCCGAGGCUGUGAGAGGAGGAAGAUAGGCGUAUACCGGUGCAAAAGCAACACAGGUGAACACUAUAUUUCAAGUUCCUUCUAAAAUGACAGGAUGAUUAGAUUAUAACUCCUGUGUGAAGAAAUCAGUGGAGGAAGCACCAGAAAUAUAUGGAUAUAUUGUGGAGGAAGUGUACAUUUACUUUACAGUGAUGUCAGUAUCAUGCUUUGUGUUGUACACAUUUAUGGGAUAUUUUAGGAUUCAGUGACUUAUGAUGAUGUGCAUGUGAACUUCACUAAAGAAGAGUGGGAUUUGCUGGAUCCUUCCCAGAUGAAUCUCUACAAAGACGUGAUGCUGGAGACCUACUGGAACCUCAUUGCUAUAGGUAGGACUGUGAAUUUUCUCUUGCUUUUCAAAAUAAGAGAACAAAUGUUUCUUGGUUAUUGAUGAACUUCUGCCCUUUCAAUUG
rnacentral:lncRNA from 1 species